rnacentral:rRNA from 1 species
CCUACGGGUGGCAGCAGUGAGGAAUAUUGGUCAAUGGGCGAGAGCCUGAACCAGCCAAGUAGCGUGAAGGAUGAAGGAUCUAUGGUUUGUAAACUUCUUUUAUAUGGGAAUAAAGUGAGGAACGUGUUCCUUUUUGUAUGUACCAUAUGAAUAAGCAUCGGCUAACUCCGUGCCAGCAGCCGCGGUAAUACGGAGGAUGCGAGCGUUAUCCGGAUUUAUUGGGUUUAAAGGGUGCGUAGGUGGUUAAUUAAGUCAGCGGUGAAAGUUUGUGGCUCAACCAUAGAAUUGCCGUUGAAACUGGGGGUCUUGAGUAUGUUAGAGGUGGGCGGAAUUCGUGGUGUAGCGGGGAAAUGCUUAGAUAUCACGCAGAACUCCGAUUGCGAAGGCAGCCUGCCAAGCCAUGACUGACGCUGAUGCACGAAAGCGUGGGGAUCAAACAGGAUUAGAUACCCCAGUAGUC